rnacentral:sRNA from 1 species
GUGCAGGAUGGCGACGGCGGCCUACGAGCAGCUGAAGCUGCAUAUCACACCUGAAAAAUUUUAUGUGGAAGCUUGUGAUGAUGGAGCAGAUGAUGUACUUACCAUCGACCGUGUGUCCACAGAGGUUACCCUUGCAGUCAAGAAAGAUGUUCCUCCUUCAGCUGUCACAAGACCAAUAUUUGGUAUACUGGGCACAAUCCAUCUGGUGGCAGGUAAUUAUCUUAUAGUCAUUACCAAAAAGAUAAAAGUAGGUGAAUUUUUCAGUCAUGUAAUCUGGAAAGCAACAGAUUUUGAUGUCCUUUCUUAUAAGAAGACAAUGUUGCACUUAACUGAUAUUCAGUUACAAGAUAAUAAAACCUUCCUAGCGAUGCUAAACCAUGUCUUGAAUGUGGAUGGAUUUUACUUUUCAACAACAUAUGAUUUGACCCAUACUUUGCAGCGGCUAUCCAACACUAGUCCUGAAUUCCAAGAAAUGAGUCUCUUGGAAAGGAUCAGCGAUUUGUAUGGAAUGGUCAUCUUCUAAGAGAACUUUCUGCACAGCCAGAGGUUCAUCGGUUUGCCCUUCCAGUGUUACAUGGCUGUA